rnacentral:rRNA from 1 species
GCCGCGGUAAUUCCAGCUCCAAUAGCGUAUACUAAAGUUGUUGCGGUUAAAAAGCUCGUAGUUGGAUCUUGGAAUGUGUUCAAGCGGGUCAGCUUCUGGCUGUGCGCUGCUUGACGUGUUCUUCUAUUUGGUUUUGGUGCGGUGCGCUUAACUGCGUGUCGCUCCCGGCCGAAACGUUUACCUUGAAAAAAUUAGAGUGUUCAAAGCAGACCUGUUUGAGUCUGAAUAUUCGUGCAUGGAAUAAUGAAAUAUGAAUUCGGUUCUAUUUUGUUGGUUUUCGGAACUCGAGUUAAUGAUCAGGAGGGACAGACGGGGGCAUUCGUACUCUGCCGUUAGAGGUGAAAUUCUUGGAUCGGCGGAAGACGCGCAACUGCGAAAGCAUUUGCCAAGAAUGUUUUCUUUAAUCAAGAACGAUAGUCGGAGGUUCGAAGACGAUCAGAUACCGUCCUAGUUUCGACUGUAAACUAUGCCAGCUAACGAUCAGACAGAGUUCUCUACGACUUGUCUGGCAGUUUCCGGGAAACCAAAGCGUUUGGGUUCCGGGGGAAGUAUGGUUGCAAAGCUGAAACUUAAAGGAAUUGACGGAAGGGCACCACCAGGAGUGGAGCCUGCGGCUUAAUUUGACUCAACACGGGGAAACUCACCCGGCCCGGACACAGUGAGGAUUGACAGAUUGAGAGUUCUUUCUUGAUUCUGUGGGUGGUGGUGCAUGGCCGUUCUUAGUUGGUGGAGCGAUUUGUCUGGUUAAUUCCGAUAACGAACGAGACUCUGGCAUGUUAAAUAGUCGCGGAAGUGCGUAUGCACUUGCCGAAUUGACUUCUUAGAGGGACUAGUGAUUUUAAUUCACACGAGAUUGAGCAAUAACAGGUCUG